CCCCCUUUUACAUCUCCAAUUUCAAAAACUCUAGCUAUUUUGACUCUUUUACAUAGUAAUACUACUUCCAAUCUGCAAUACUAUUUAUCUAAAACAGGGGGGUUCAAUUUUCCAUGAUGCGGUUAAAAAUACCAUAUGGAAAAAUGGCCUGGGGUCAAAAUACCAUGUGGUAUAAUGAAUAUACUAUAUGACAACGGGUACAGGAUUUUUUUGCUUUGUUGAAGACCCAUUGGUAUAGUUGGUGUCUCUUUGACAUAUUACCCAUUCCCAUUCUCUAUUUCAUUACACACAUAUCAAAAGUUCUUAAUAAUUUGUUUUUACGAU
rnacentral:lncRNA from 1 species